GCCGCCUGGGCCGGGUGCCGCGAGGACAGCGUGCGGCUCCUCCCCGCCCGCCCUGCCCCCUUGUUUGGGACACUAGGGCAAGGAAGGCUUUGUCUCACGUUCACCGCGGGUGCCCGUCCUUCCCGGCCGUGACCCUCUUUCCCUUCACCCUCUGUCUGGAACCCCAGAACCACACCCGCCCGUGACCACCUUGUCACCGGCUCAAGGAGGCUCCAGCCCGCCACGACAGUGCCCCACGGAGCUGCGCAAAGCCCUCGGACCCCACACAGGGGUGGAUAAUUAGGGCGCAUGGGUCUCUGGUGGGCAGGAAUUUAAACUGAUAUGCUAAGUGUGACCGUCCCUAUAGUCCAACAGAAAACACACACACAUGCACUCGCACUCCUCACUGGGGACCCAUACAGGCACACUCCAGGUCCUCAUCUUCCUUGUCAGCUGGUACCCCCUCUUCUGAAAGAUUCUCUCCCCUUAGUUUCCGCAGUUGGAAGGAAAGACACCCUUUAUCCACAAAAACUGGUUUGGUUCUGGGAUCUGCUCCCCGCCCCUCCACCCAACUCUUCCAGGAGAUAAAUUGAGGUCGUGUGUGUGAAGUGCUUUCCUCUGGUUCCUUGACCAUGCCGGAGCCUUCGUACCGACUGUUCCUUCUGCCUGAAUUGCUCUUCCCAGGAUGUGUGCGUGGCUGUCCCCUUGCUUCGUUCAGGUGUCUGCUCGAAUGUCAUCUCUCAGAGAAAGCAAGACCCAAGAGAAGGCAAACAUUGUCUGACUUCUUCACUGUGAUGGGGAAAAAAAGCCCCAUAAAUAUUUAUUGGAUGAAUAUGUAGAAUGAAUGAGUUCUAUGGGGACUUCCCAGCAGGUCACUCUGGGCCGAGACGUUGUUCAAGGGGCAACUAUUAAAUCAAACACACACACAC